rnacentral:rRNA from 1 species
AAUAGCCUAACGGCUGAACCAGCAACUUGGAGGAAUGUAUAGCGAAAGCUAAUUGUAUUUUACUUAGCGAAAGCUAAGUAGGUGCAAGAUUGACUAUGUCGAAUAAAGUUCUAGAUGGGUUAUGAUGAUGACAUUUCCUAUCUAUGUGUCUUGACCAAAUUACGUGCCAGCAGUCGCGGUAAUACGUAGAAGACUAGUGUUAUUCAUCUUUAAUAGGUUUAAAGGGUACCUAGACGGUAAAUCAAGUCUGAAAAAGAUACUAAUUUACUAGAGUUUAAUGUGAGGGGGCACUAAAGUACUGAUAAGUGUAGAGAUGAAAUUCUGUGAUACAAUAUACGGCACUGGUAAAGGCGAAAGCAUCUCAUUAUGUAAUAACUGACGUUGAGGGACGAAGGCUAGGUGUAGCAAAAAGGAUUAGAUACCCAAGUAGUCUUAGCAGAAAAUUAUGAAUGUCAUAGGAUGGAAUAAUAAACAAAAAUUUUUUUUCUAUAAAUGAAAGUGUAAGCAUUCCACCUCGAGAGUAAUUUGGCAACAUUGGAACUGAAAUCAUUAGACCGUUUCUGAAACAAGUAGUGAAGUAUGUUGUUUAAUUUGAUAGUCCGCAAAAAACCUUACCACAAUUUGAAUAGAAAAUUUUCUUUCAUACAAGCGCUGCACGGUUGUCUUCAGUUAAUGUCGUGAGAUCUUGGUUAGUUCCAUUAAAUUAACGUAAACCCUUAUUUUAUUUUUAUAUAGAGUAGUUCACCGCUAGAUUGGAUGUGAUAACAGGGACUAAGACAAGUCAUCAUGGCCUUAAUAUUGUGGGCUAUAGACGUGCCACAUAUGCCUUACAAAGGGAUGCAAAAUUGCGAAAUUGAGCUAAUCCCCUAAAAAUGGAUAAAAACUUAAU